rnacentral:rRNA from 1 species
UACAGAGGUGGCAAGCGUUGUUCGGAAUUACUGGGCGUAAAGGGCGCGCAGGCGGCCAUUCAAGUCAGGCGUGAAAGCCCCGGGCUCAACCCGGGAAUAGCGCUUGAGACUGGGGGGCUUGAGUUCGGGAGAGGAGAGUGGAAUUCCCAGUGUAGAGGUGAAAUUCGUAGAUAUUGGGAAGAACACCGGUGGCGAAGGCGGCUCUCUGGACCGACACUGACGCUGAGAAGCGAAAGCAUGGGGAGCGAACAGG